rnacentral:rRNA from 1 species
AUGUUAGACAACAAUUUAUCCAUACUUUGCUGGAACGUGCGUGGACUUAACUGUCCAGACCGACGCGCUGCUGUUCACGAAACCAUUGCUACAUCCUCCUGUAAUCUGGUUUGCAUCCAAGAAUCAAAGUUGCAGACCAUUGAUCCGUCCAUCGCUUCUUAUCUAGGCGGUCAAUGCCUCAAAAGCUUUGCUCAUAGACCGGCUGAUGGCACUAAAGGUGGCAUCCUGUUAUUAUGGGACAAUGAAGUUGUUACCGUCACCAAUGUACAAACUGGGGCGUACUUCCUCUCCGCGACUGUGAAUCUCAACAACUCCACUGAUAACAAAACUUUCAAGCUAACUACAGUCUAUGGCCCCACUCGCAGCAACCAUAAGGAGGCUUUCUUCCAGGAACUCACCUCGCAAAAGCCAGCCUCGGGGACCAAAUGGCUGGUCAACGGAGACUUUAAUCAAAUAUAUCGGGCUAGAGACAAGAAUCGUGUGAUGGGGUCAUGUACCUAA